GUCGAACGCUGGCGGCGUGCUUAACACAUGCAAGUCGAACGGAAAGGCCCUGCUUUUGUGGGGUGCUCGAGUGGCGAACGGGUGAGUAACACGUGAGUAACCUGCCCUUGACUUUGGGAUAACUUCAGGAAACUGGGGCUAAUACCGGAUAGGAGCUCCUGCUGCAUGGUGGGGGUUGGAAAGUUUCGGCGGUUGGGGAUGGACUCGCGGCUUAUCAGCUUGUUGGUGGGGUAGUGGCUUACCAAGGCUUUGACGGGUAGCCGGCCUGAGAGGGUGACCGGCCACAUUGGGACUGAGAUACGGCCCAGACUCCUACGGGAGGCAGCAGUGGGGAAUAUUGCACAAUGGGCGGAAGCCUGAUGCAGCAACGCCGCGUGCGGGAUGACGGCCUUCGGGUUGUAAACCGCUUUCGCCUGUGACGAAGCGUGAGUGACGGUAAUGGGCAAAGAAGCACCGGCUAACUACGUG
rnacentral:rRNA from 1 species